AACGGGUAACUAAGGUACUUCGGACGUGACUGACGGACGGUAGGCGAACGGGUAGGAGGUAAUACAUCGGAACGUAGCCCGAGUACUGGGGAGUAACGCAGCGAAAGGACUGUGCUAAUACUGCAUACGAUCUACGGAGUGAAAGCGGGGAGUCGCAAGACCUCGCGCGGACGGAGCGGCCGGAUGGCAGAUUAGGUAGUUGUGGGUAAAGGCUCACCAAGCCUGCGAUCUGUAGCUGGUCUGAGAGGACGACCAGCCACACUGGGACUGAGACACGGCCCAGGCUCCUACGGGAGGCAGCAGUGGGGAAUUUUGGACAAUGGGCGCAAGCCUGAUCCAGCCAUGCCGCGUGCAGGAUGAAGGCCUUCGGGUUGUAAACUGCUUUUGUACGGAACGAAAAGGUCUGCCUUAAUACGGUGGGCCCAUGACGGUACCGUAAGAAUAAGCACCGGCUAACUACGUG
rnacentral:rRNA from 1 species